rnacentral:lncRNA from 10 species
UCCUCAAGUUGCUUAUAAUCUAGGUGAGGACACAUCUGAGAGAAUAACUAAUAGUUCAGUGAAGUUAAAAACAACAACAACAACAACAAAAACACAAAACCCUGAGGCUCAGAAGAUAAAUAUUUGCUGAAGAUCACUGUGCUUAUUAGAUGGGUGUUACUGAUUCUUACCUCAGAGAAGAGAAUGUCAUGGAGACAAAAUGACCUGCUUAGAGUUCUGCACCCCCCAGCAUGGAGAGCAGAGCGCAAAGAUUUCUUCCGGACUCCCACAUUCCCCUUGGAAUCCAAGAACUGGUCUACUGUCACAACACUUUAGUACCCUCUUAGAUGGGGAUCUCACUCUGUUGCCCAGGCUGGUCUCAAACUCCUGGCUUCAAGCAAUCCUCCUGCUUCGGCCUCCCAAACUUCUGGGAUUACAGAUAUGAGCCACCACGGCUGGCUGACAGGCACCAAAUUCUAGGAGAGGACUUGAAUAGAGCUGGAGUGCAAUGGCACAAUCUCGGCUCACCGCAACCUCUGCCUCCCAGGUUCAAGCGAUUCUCCUGCCUCAGCCUCCCGAGUAGCUGGGAUUACAGCUCCCAAGGAGGCAGCAGAAACUGGGGUAAUCACAACGGUCAACAGCAGCAAAGGCAGCACUUUC